rnacentral:rRNA from 1 species
AUUGAACGCUGGCGGCAUGCCUUACACAUGCAAGUCGAACGGUAACGGGCCUUCGGGUGCCGGCGAGUGGCGCACGGGGGAGUAAUACAUCGGAACGUGCCCGAUCGUGGGGGGUAACGCGGCGGAAGCUUUGCUAAUACCCCAUACGAUCUACGGGUGAGAGCGGGGGACCGCAAGGCCUUGCGCGGUCGGAGCUGCCGAUGGCGGAUUAGGUAGUUGGUGGGAUAAAAGCUUACCAAGACGACGAUCUGUAGCUGGUCUGAGAGGAUGAUCAGCCACACUGGGACUGAGACACGGCCCAGACUCCUACGGGAGGCAGCAGUGGGGAAUUUUGGACAAUGGGCGAAAGCCUGAUCCAGCCAUGCCGCGUGCAGGAUGAAGGCCUUCGGGUUGUAAACUGCUUUUGUACGGAACGAAAAGCAUUCUUUUAAUACAGGGGGGUCAUGACGGUACCGUAAGAAUAAGCACCGGCUAACUACGUG